CAUCUCUACACCCAAGUCUUCCAAAGAUAUUGAUCUAAACACCUCUAUUUCCUUGGUAAAACCUAGAAGAUUAGUGGAGAUACAAGCUUGAAGGUUGGAAAGAAGAUUUUAUUUUUCUCUUUGAUUUACUUGAGCUUUGUGAUGACCAGGAGGAUUAGCGCUACUUUUCCAAGACAGGUUUAUAUGUGUAUGAUCUUCAGGCUUUGCCUAUCCAGGUUGAGCAGCUGAUGGAAUGGAAUGGUGUUGAGCGGGUGUUCCUUUGACAUUUCAAGAAAUGUAACCUUGAGUAUACAUCUUCAUAUGUAUAUCUCACACGUUUUCCGCUGCAAAACACUUUGAUUAGGAAAACUCUUUGUUAUAAAGUUGUGACACGUGUUAUUGGGUAACCCACCUUAAUUAGUUCUCCUUUAUGUGUAUGUUUUAUAAGUAUCCAAAUAAUCAUAUAUGAUCCUAGCAUUUUAUCUAUGAGUGACAUUUCCAUAUACUUUAAUGUUAAGUAUUUGUCCA